AUGCUAGUCGUGCAGGACAGAAGGGAGCUUGCUCCCGGAUGUUAGCGGCGGACGGGUGAGUAACACGUGGGUAACCUGCCUGUAAGACUGGGAUAACUCCGGGAAACCGGAGCUAAUACCGGAUAGUUCCUUGAACCGCAUGGUUCAAGGAUGAAAGACGGUUUCGGCUGUCACUUACAGAUGGACCCGCGGCGCAUUAGCUAGUUGGUGAGGUAACGGCUCACCAAGGCGACGAUGCGUAGCCGACCUGAGAGGGUGAUCGGCCACACUGGGACUGAGACACGGCCCAGACUCCUACGGGAGGCAGCAGUAGGGAAUCUUCCGCAAUGGACGAAAGUCUGACGGAGCAACGCCGCGUGAGUGAUGAAGGUUUUCGGAUCGUAAAGCUCUGUUGUUAGGGAAGAACAAGUGCAAGAGUAACUGCUUGCACCUUGACGGUACCUAACCAGAAAGCCACGGCUAACUACGUGCCAGCAGCCGCGGUAAUACGUAGGUGGCAAGCGUUGUCCGGAAUUAUUGGGCGUAAAGGGCUCGCAGGCGGUUUCUUAAGUCUGAUGUGAAAGCCCCCGGCUCAACCGGGGAGGGUCAUUGGAAACUGGGAAACUUGAGUGCAGAAGAGGAGAGUGGAAUUCCACGUGUAGCGGUGAAAUGCGUAGAGAUGUGGAGGAACACCAGUGGCGAAGGCGACUCUCUGGUCUGUAACUGACGCUGAGGAGCGAAAGCGUGGGGAGCGAACAGGAUUAGUUUUUUUUAUUUCAA
rnacentral:rRNA from 1 species